rnacentral:rRNA from 1 species
ACCCUGUCAGAAAGCGAUGGCUAACUAUGUGCCAGCAGCCGCGGUAAUACAUAGGUCGCAAGCGUUAUCCGGAAUUAUUGGGCGUAAAGCGUUCGUAGGCUGUUUAUUAAGUCUGGAGUCAAAUCCCAGGGCUCAACCCUGGCUCGCUUUGGAUACUGGUAAACUAGAGUUAGAUAGAGGUAAGCGGAAUUCCAUGUGAAGCGGUGAAAUGCGUAGAUAUAUGGAAGAACACCAAAGGCGAAGGCAGCUUACUGG